rnacentral:rRNA from 1 species
GACGGGGGGGGCAAGUGUUCUUCGGAAUGACUGGGCGUAAAGAGCGUGUAGGCGGCCAAGCAGGUCCGUUGUGAAAACUGGAGGCUUAACCUCCAGACGUCGACGGAAACCGCGCGGCUAGAGUCCGGAAGAGGAGAGUGGAAUUCCUGGUGUAGCGGUGAAAUGCGCAGAUAUCAGGAAGAACACCAAUGGCGAAGGCAGCUCUCUGGGACGGUACUGACGCUGAGACGCGAAAGCGUGGGGAGCGAACAGG